rnacentral:lncRNA from 1 species
GUGGACCUCCACAUCACCAUUUACACUGUUCACGCAAUAAUUUUGGCUCAAAUUUUAAUCUUUUAGUUUCAUUGUGUUGUUCUAUUAGUUUCAUUUGUUGAUUUCAUUACUAACUUACAAGCUAGUACUAGAUUGUAAGUUAGUUUUGAAACCGUCCUUCGUGUAUACGUUCCUUUGUGUGUCUUAUUCUUUUGAGUCAUUGUAAUACUUGGUCCACCUCUCAAUGCCUCAUGGAGUAAAGCAAGGUUACGACACUUGUGAGACCAAAGUAAAAAAAAAAUUCGAGAGACAAAACAAUAGAGAGGGAGUGUGAGGAUCAUUCUUGUACAUCUAACUUGUUUGUUGUUUUGUAGGUAAAUUCUUGGGCAUAAUGGAAACCAUAUUGGCUCUCCUUGAUGCUUUGUCCCAAGACCUUUCUAGGGCAAAUGUGGGUCUUGAAAAAAUUGACUCGGAUCUGGUAACUAUGAGUGAGAGGUUGGAUCAAAUAGAGAGUCGAAGGAACUCCCGUGCUUUUACUUUCGAAACUUUACUUCCUAUGACCAAUCCUCUAAGACCACAACAUAAUGCCACAAGCCAAGCUCUAAAUAACCCUCAAAAUCGAGAAUAAGAUAGACCACUUCCCCCGCAAGUUGAUUAAUUCCAACAAGGAGGACUUGAAAGCCAAUUUUCUCCCAUCUAAGAUCCACGUUACCAAAUCGAGUCUCUCAACCAAAACUUACCUUUCCCAAAACCGACACAUCCAAGAAGAGGAACAUGGUAGAGAGAGACACGAAGGAUAUGGAGUCUACGACGAUGUUUAUAUGAUACAAGGAGACUUGAGUCGGAUGAGAUUGAAGGCUAAUCUCAAGAGGGAGAGGAAGCCGAGGGUCAAAAUGAAGAUGUUGGAUCUGAGACUUUUUGUCAUUAUGCUCUCAGGUUUGGCUAGCUUAUGGACUGUUUUUUGUGCAUCUCUUAAGGGAUGUUUUUAGCUCGUCUUUGAUACGUCCCUUGUUAUUAUU